AAAAAGUCAAACCCUAGGUUUGCGUGUCUAACUUUAACUGUUCGUUUUAUAUAAAAUUUUUUUAUAAUUCGUAUUUUUAUUGGUGUUAGAUGAUAAAACAUGAUUAAAACUUUGUGCGUGACUUGCUUUUUUAAUUUUUUUUCAUAAUUUUUUUAAAUAAGACGGACGGUCAAACAUUGGGCACGGAAACCAGGGUUUGUCUUUUU
rfam:Oryza rufipogon genomic scaffold, chr01